UAUGUAGGGGGCUAGCGUUGUCCGGAUUUAUUGGGCGUAAAGAGCGUGUAGGCGGCUUGGAAGGUCAGCUGUGAAAACUCGAGGCUCAACCUCGAGACGUCGGUUGAAACCACCUGGCUAGAGUCCGGAAGAGGAGAGUGGAAUUCCCGGUGUAGCGGUGAAAUGACGCAGAUAUCGGGAAGAACACCCGUGGCUAAGGCGGUUCUCUAGUACGGUACUGACGCUGAGGAGCGAAAGCGUGGGGAGCGAACAGG
rnacentral:rRNA from 1 species